UACGUAGGGUGCAGGCGUUAAUCGGAAUUACUGGGCGUAAAGGGCUCGUAGGCGGCCAACUAAGUCGGAUGUGAAAUCCCCAGGCUUAACCUGGGAACUGCAUCCGAUACUGGAUGGCUUGAAUCCGGGAGAGGGAUGCAGAAUUCCAGGUGUAGCGGUGAAAUGCGUAGAUAUCCGGAGGAACACCGGUGGCGAAGGCGGCUUCCUGGACCGACACUGACGCUGAGGCGCGAAAGUGUGGGGAGCGAACAGG
rnacentral:rRNA from 1 species